UACGGAGGGUGCAAGCGUUAUCCGGAUUCACUGGGUUUAAAGGGUGCGUAGGUGGGCAGGUAAGUCAGUGGUGAAAUCUCUGGGCUUAACCCAGGAACUGCCGUUGAUACUAUCUGUCUUGAAUAUAGUGGAGGUGAGCGGAAUAUGUCAUGUAGCGGUGAAAUGCUUAGAUAUGACAUAGAACACCCAUUGCGAAGGCAGCUCGCUACACUAUCAUUGACACUGAGGCACGAAAGCGUGGGGAUCAAACAGG
rnacentral:rRNA from 1 species